rnacentral:RNase_P_RNA from 1 species
CAGACGGCCGCUGCCGGACAGACGAAAGGGUCCGGGAGAGGAAAGUCCGGGCUUCACAGGGCAGGAUGCCGGAUAACGUCCGGCGGAGGUGACUCCAGGGACAGUGCAACAGAAAUGAACCGCCGAAGGUGAUACGGUACCGCAUCUGUGGUACACGUCCCGCGGUAAGGGUGGAAGGGCAGUGUAAGAGACUACCGCCCGUCCGGUGACGGACGGGGCACAUGUAAACCCCAUCCGAAGCAAGACCGUACAGGAACAUAUGGCUGCCCGUCAGUUCCAGGUAGGUCGCUUGAGCCGGCUGGCAACAGCCGACCUGGAUAGAUGGCCGUCCACGACAUAACCCGGCUUAUCGUCCCGCUUA